rnacentral:rRNA from 1 species
ACGCUCGACACCUACGGGAGGCGGCAGUGGGGAAUAUUGCACAAUGGGGGAAACCCUGAUGCAGCGACGCCGCGUGAGCGAAGAAGUAUCUCGGUAUGUAAAGCUCUAUCAGCAGGGAAGAAAAUGACGGUACCUGACUAAGAAGCACCGGCUAAAUACGUGCCAGCAGCCGCGGUAAUCUGAGCGGGCUGGCAAGGC